UACGGGGGGAGCAAGCGUUGUUCGGAUUUACUGGGCGUAAAGGGCGCGUAGGCGGCCAGCACAAGUCAGUUGUGAAAUCUCCGAGCUUAACUCGGAAAGGUCAACUGAUACUGUGCGGCUAGAGUGCGGAAGGGGCAACUGGAAUUCUUGGUGUAGCGGUGAAGUGCGUAGAUAUCAAGAGGAACACCUGCGGGCGAAGGCGGGUUGCUGGGCCGACACUGACGCUGAUGCG
rnacentral:rRNA from 1 species